UACGAAGGGGGCUAGCGUUGCUCGGAAUCACUGGGCGUAAAGCGCACGUAGGCGGACUCUUAAGUCGGUGGUGAAAUCCUGGAGCUCAACUCCAGAACUGCCUUCGAUACUGAGAGUCUUGAGUCCGGGAGAGGUGAGUGGAACUGCGAGUGUAGAGGUGAAAUUCGUAGAUAUUCGCAAGAACACCAGUGGCGAAGGCGCCCCUUGGACCUGGUACU
rnacentral:rRNA from 1 species